UGUAGGGCCACUUUUUUGCCCACGACAAUAAAGACUUGAACGUGAAUAGUAGUUUGGGACGUGGUUUAACGUAGACAGUUUAACGUGGUUAACGUAGAGGGACAGUGCUUAUCAGAUCUGCGCUGUGGUUAGGUCAGGAAUAAACGGGAACUCCUGCACCGCCUGUCGGUGUUUGUAUAAAUGGCUUGCGUGCGCUUAGAAACGCGGAUAGUAGCGUGCGCGUAAUGGACAUCAGUGAAACUCGGAACGUCCAAAGAAGGGAGGAAGGGAUUGUGUAGGCUCUCCGAAUAAAACCAUUUUAAUUAGGCACACUGGAGGGAAACUAUAAGGUGUAGCUACAAAAGUUCAGUGACUCAAAGUCACUUACCGAACCGAACGUUAUGCAGUUACAGUGCCAUUAAAGUGAUUGGAAGGUUUUAAAGUCAAGGUGUGUUAAUCCAGUCUGGCAACACAAAGAUGUCAUUAGUCAGUCCUGGAUAUACCCUUUUUGUAAUACACCCAUUGCGUCAUCUUAAACAGCGGCUAAAUUUGACAAUAAGCGGUGUUUUUGAAAGAAUUUGGGUUAUUUGAAUUAUUGGAUUGGGAAACUAUUGGAGGUAGUAAGGUGGGUUGUGACCCCUCAAACAAUUCUGCACGUAAUACGAGGACCAUUGGGUGGGUUGCUUGUCUGCCCAGGAGAUUUGGGGAUUGUGCCGUUCUAGCCAGGGUAGUCCGAGUAUGACGUCUGGUGGAGACCGUGAGGUAAAGGACCAGAGUUUCGUGGUGGAGGGCGCUAACUUGAAGGCAGACUGGGUGUGUGCUGUGAGAUAUUAUGCCUCCCCUAUAGGUAACCCGUCUAUGGAUUGGAGAUCACGAGGACGGAGUAGGGGACGUAUGGGGAGGCCGAGCUCCUGCGCCGUCUUCUCAUCUAUGAAGUUCUCCGCUGCUCCGGAGUCGACGAGCGCUGAAAGAACAAAAGAACAGCCUGAAUGUUCUAUCACGACUGCAACCACACAACAUUCUCCAGAGGAGGCUGCUGGAGGCCACCUUAUCACGGAUCAGAUCGAACAACCGCAACAUGAAACCAGCACGCAGUUAUACGGUUCAAAGCCCCAGCAUACACAGUGACAUUCAAGUGGCUGAGACUGACCUCAUUCAAGUCAUGUGUCAGCUUUAAGGAAAAGUUCAUCAGCAACAAAAAUGAGGAACAUUUAGGGCCACUCCAGCACAACCUCCAAACUAUAGGACACAUCAAGCUGAGUUUGGUCAUCGGGCAAACAGAAACGGAUCUUUUAUUUACUGUUGUGAGUAAGUGCAUGAUAACACUGUUUUUAAGUGUUGCUAAGAUUCAAGUGAUUAAGCUCAAUGAGUAAAUUAUGUGUAUUGUUCGUUGCAGAAAACAGUAAAAAGUUUAUAAUGUUAGGCACAAAGACACUCAAGUUUCUGAGGUAAACUCCACCCCUACCCCCCCCCCCCCCCCCCCACACACACACACACACACACUCUCUCUCUCUCUCUCUCUCUCUCUCUCUCUCUCUCUCUCUCGCUCUGUUAAACCUUGGCAAUACAAGAGAACAUGUUCACAACAAGUUUGAGGAUAUUUGAAAUGCAUUAUGAGAUAUGUCCCCUUUUACAGUGUGUUAUUGACACUGAAAAGCAUAUGCUUGUUCUUGGAAAUUCUGUAUGGGAGCAAGUCCAUUUUGUUGGAAAACAUGAAAAUGAAGGUUAGAAUAAUUUG
ensembl:lncRNA